UACGUAGGGUGCGAGCGUUGUCCGGAAUUAUUGGGCGUAAAGAGCUCGUAGGCGGUCUGUCGCGUCGGUCGUGAAAACUUGGGGCUUAACCCUGAGCUUGCGGUCGAUACGGGCAUGACUGGAGUUCGGCAGGGGAGACUGGAAUUCCUGGUGUAGCGGUGAAAUGCGCAGAUAUCAGGAGGAACACCGGUGGCGAGGGCGGGUCUCUGGGCCGAUACUGACGCUGAGGAGCGAAAGCGUGGGGAGCGAACAGG
rnacentral:rRNA from 1 species